rnacentral:rRNA from 1 species
UACGUAGGGUGCAAGCGUUGUCCGGAAUUAUUGGGCGUAAAGAGCUCGUAGGCGGUCUGUCGCGUCGGGUGUGAAAUCCCCAGGCUUAACCUGGGAACUGCAUUCGAGACUGCAUUGCUAGAGUAUGGGAGAGGGAAGUGGAAUUUCCGGUGUAGCGGUGAAAUGCGUAGAUAUCGGAAGGAACAUCAGUGGCGAAAGCGACUUCCUGGACCAAUACUGACGCUCAUGUGCGAAAGCGUGGGGAGCAAACAGG